rnacentral:rRNA from 1 species
UCGCCAGACUCCUACGGGAGGCAGCAGUGGGGAAUAUUGCACAAUGGGCGAAAGCCUGAUGCAACAACGCCGCGUGAAGGAAGAAGGCCUUCGGGUCGUAAACUUCUGUCCUUGGGGAAGAAGAACUGACGGUACCCAAGGAGGAAGCCCCGGCUAACUACGUGCCAGCAGCCGCGGUAAUACGGAGGGUGCGAGCGUUAAUCGGAAUUACUGGGCGUAAAGCGCUCGUAGGCGGUAUGUCAAGUCAAGGGUGAAAUCCCCGCGCUCAACGUGGGAACUGCCUUUGAAACUGGCAAACUGGAGUGUGUGAGAGGAUAGUGGAAUUCCAGGUGUAGGAGUGAAAUCCGUAGAUAUCUGGAGGAACAUCAGUGGCGAAGGCGACUAUCUGGCACAUAACUGACGCUGAGGAGCGAAAGCGUGGGUAGCAAACAGGAUUAGAUACCCCCGUAAAC